rnacentral:tRNA from 1 species
GCGGGCGUGGCGGAACGGCAGACGCGCCAGACUUAGGAUCUGGUGGGUUUCCCCCGUGGAGGUUCAAGUCCUCUCGCCCGCA